rnacentral:rRNA from 1 species
GACGAACGCUGGCGGCGUGCUUAACACAUGCAAGUCGAACGCUGAAGCUCAGCUUUUGUUGGGUGGAUGAGUGGCGAACGGGUGAGUAACACGUGGGUAACCUGCCUCCUUCUUUGGGAUAACGCCCGGAAACGGGUGCUAAUACUGGAUAUUCACUGGUCUUCGCAUGGGGGUUGGUGGAAAGGGUUUUUCUGGUGGGGGAUGGGCUCGCGGCCUAUCAGCUUGUUGGUGGGGUGAUGGCCUACCAAGGCUUUGACGGGUAGCCGGCCUGAGAGGGUGACCGGUCACAUUGGGACUGAGAUACGGCCCAGACUCCUACGGGAGGCAGCAGUGGGGAAUAUUGCACAAUGGGCGCAAGCCUGAUGCAGCGACGCCGUGUGAGGGAUGGAGGCCUUCGGGUUGUGAACCUCUUUCGCUCAUGGUCAAGCCGCAACAAUGGUUGUGGUGAGGGUAGUGGGUAAAGAAGCGCCGGCUAACUACGUG